rnacentral:rRNA from 1 species
CGCGUAGGUAACCUGCCUGGUAGCGGGGGAUAACUAUUGGAAACGAUAGCUAAUACCGCAUAAUAGCAGUUGUUGCAUGACAACUGUUUAAAAGGUGCAAUUGCAUCACUACCAGAUGGACCUGCGUUGUAUUAGCUAGUUGGUGGGGUAACGGCUCACCAAGGCGACGAUACAUAGCUGACCUGAGAGGGUGAUCGGCCACACUGGGACUGAGACACGGCCCAG